rnacentral:rRNA from 1 species
UCGGGAAUAUUGCGCAAUGGAGGAAACUCUGACGCAGUGACGCCGCGUGCAGGAAGAAGGUUUUCGGAUUGUAAACUGCUUUAGACAGGGAAGAUAAUGACAGUACCUGUAGAAUAAGCUCCGGCUAACUACGUGCCAGCAGCCGCGGUAAUACGUAGGGAGCAAGCGUUAUCCGGAUUUAUUGGGUGUAAAGGGUGCGUAGACGGGAAAUUAAGUUAGUUGUGAAAUCCCUCGGCUUAACUGAGGAACUGCAACUAAAACUGGUUUUCUUGAGUGCUGGAGAGGAAAGUGGAAUUCCUAGUGUAGCGGUGAAAUGCGUAGAUAUUAGGAGGAACACCAGUGGCGAAGGCGACUUUCUGGACAGUAACUGACGUUGAGGCACGAAAGUGUGGGGAGCAAACA